UACGGAGGGGGCGAGCGUUAUUCGGAAUUAUUGGGCGUAAAGAGCUCGUAGGCGGCCGUCCACGUCGGAUGUGAAAGCUCGGGGCUCAACCCUGAGAGGCCAUUCGAUACGGGACGGCUAGAGGCAGGUAGGGGAGAUUGGAAUUCCUGGUGUAGCGGUGAAAUGCGCAGAUAUCAGGAGGAACACCGGUGGCGAAGGCGGAUCUCUGGGCCUUGCCUGACGCUGAGGAGCGAAAGCUAGGGGAGCAAACAGG
rnacentral:rRNA from 1 species